CUUCUAAAUAAACAUUUGAGCAGAAUUCCUGGACUCUUCCGCUAUAGUCUUGACACUUGAGACUUAACACUUGACGCUUAACGACUGUUUGAUCUUCUCACCUCUAAGUGUAGUCAUACUCCAAGACAUUUUACGCAAGCAGCAUCAUAGCCGAAAAAACUGUUUGUCGGCCAACACAGAAAAAAUGAAAUGCAAUCAAAGUUAGGUAAGAGAACUGACCUUAAACAAUGCUGCACAGAUCGGACAUCAGAUAUCGCAUAUGUCUGUCUGCCGCACACAUAUGCCACAGAUCAAAUACAAAACACAUUUACCCAAAAA